rnacentral:rRNA from 1 species
CCUACGGGCGGCAGCAAUUAGGAAUCUUGUACAAUGGGGGCAACCCUGAUACAGCGACGCCGCGUGAGGGAGGAAGGCCUUCGGGUUGUAAACCUCUUUUAACCGGGAGACGGUACCGGUGGAAUAAGCCCCGGCUAACUCCGUGCCAGCAGCCGCGGUAAUACGGAGGGGGCGAGCGUUGUCCGAAGUUACUGGGCGUAAAGCGCGCGUAGGCGGGUUGGCAAGUCCGCUGUGAAAGCCCGGCGCUUAACGCCGGAGGGUCGGUGGAUACUGCCAGUCUUGAAGGUGCCAGGGGAAGAUGGAAUUACCAGUGUAGCGGUGAAAUGCGUAGAUAUUGGUAGGAACACCAGUGGCGAAGGCGGUCUUCUGGAGCACCUUGACGCUGAGGCGCGAAAGCUGGGGGAGCGAACGGGAUUAGAUACCCCUGUAGUC